AAACCAGGAGGAAUGUGGCCCCUCGGGGUGUUAUAGCCUCCCGGAAAAUACACUGGACGGGAUUGAGGACUGCAGUAAAUGCCUUUAGGCGAAAUACCUGGGCGCUUGUGUUGAGGACGUGUAGAAUCUCUGCUUCGGGUGGUGCUACGCUCUAAUGUGCAACUCGCCUAGAUUAUUUUCUAUUUGCUUAGGUUGUUGGCUUAAUGACUCUAAAUGA
rnacentral:rRNA from 1 species